CCUUUGACGUUAGCGGCGGACGGGUGAGUAACACGUGGGUAACCUACCUAUAAGACUGGGAUAACUUCGGGAAACCGGAGCUAGUACCGGAUAAUAUUUCGAACCGCAUGGUUCGAUAGUGAAAGGUGGUUUUGCUAUCACUUAUAGAUGGACCCGCGCCGUAUUAGCUAGUUGGUAAGGUAACGGCUUACCAAGGCGACGAUACGUAGCCGACCUGAGAGGGUGAUCGGCCACACUGGAACUGAGACACGGUCCAGACUCCUACGGGAGGCAGCAGUC
rnacentral:rRNA from 1 species